rnacentral:lncRNA from 1 species
CUUGUGUAUGAGUUUUUCUUACGUUUCUUGGAAUCUCCAGAUUUCCAGCCGAAUAUAGCCAAGAAGUACAUUGACCAGAAGUUUGUACUUGCUCUCCUGGACCUUUUCGAUAGCGAAGACCCUCGAGAGCGGGAUUUUCUUAAGACCAUUUUGCAUCGCAUCUAUGGCAAGUUUUUGGGGCUCCGGGCUUAUAUCCGUAGGCAGAUCAACCACAUCUUCUACAGGUGAGGCGAUGAGGCCAGGCUUGGGAGCACAGCACAGCACAGCCCUGCGGAGGUGGGAUGGGAGCAGGAAGGCAGGGAAGACUGCAGCAUGCUGGAGGGGUGGUGUCAAGAUGGCCUUCUUCCCUUAGGUUCAUUUAUGAGACUGAGCAUCACAAUGGCAUUGCUGAGCUCCUGGAGAUCCUCGGCAGCAUCAUCAAUGGCUUUGCCUUGCCCCUUAAGGAAGAGCACAAGAUGUUUCUCAUCCGCGUCCUGCUUCCACUUCACAAAGUCAAGUCCCUGAGUGUGUACCACCCUCAGGUGAGCCACCUUCCUCUGAGGACCCCUCACCUGAGCAUCGGAGACCAAGGGGUGGGUGGGGAA